rnacentral:rRNA from 1 species
AGAGUUUGAUCAUGGCUCACAUUGAACGCUGGCGGCAGGCCUAACACAUGCAAGUCGAGCGCGAAAGCACUUCGGUGUGAGUAGAGCGGCGGACGGGUGAGUAACGCGUAAGAAUCUACCUAGUAGUGGGGGACAACUCGGGGAAACUCGAGCUAAUACCGCAUACGCCCUACGGGGGAAAGCGGGGGACCUUCGGGCCUCGUGCUAUUAGAUGAGCUUGCGUUGGAUUAGCUUGUUGGUGGGGUAAUGGCCCACCAAGGCGACGAUCCAUAGCUGGUCUGAGAGGAUGAUCAGCCACACCGGGACUGAGACACGGUCCGGACUCCUACGGGAGGCAGCAGUGGGGAAUAUUGCGCAAUGGGCGAAAGCCUGACGCAGCCAUGCCGCGUGUGUGAAGAAGGCCCUAGGGUUGUAAAGCACUUUCAAUUGGGAGGAAAAGCUAACGACUAAUACUCGUUAGCCCUGACGUUACCUUUAGAAGAAGCACCGGCUAACUCCGUGCCAGCAGCCGCGGUAAUACGGAGGGUGCAAGCGUUAAUCGGAAUUACUGGGCGUAAAGCGCGCGUAGGCGGCUUUUUAAGUCGGAUGUGAAAGCCCCGGGCUCAACCUGGGAACUGCACCCGAUACUGGAAGGCUAGAGUGCGAGAGAGGGAGGUAG